rnacentral:rRNA from 1 species
CCUACGGGGGGCUGCAGUGGGGAAUAUUGGACAAUGGGCGAAAGCCUGAUCCAGCCAUGCCGCGUGUGUGAAGAAGGCCUUCGGGUUGUAAAGCACUUUCAGUGGGGAAGAAAGCCUUGGGGCUAAUACCCUCGAGGAAGGACAUCACCCACAGAAGAAGCACCGGCUAACUCCGUGCCAGCAGCCGCGGUAAAUACGGAGGGUGCGAGCGUUAAUCGGAAUUACUGGGCGUAAAGCGCGCGUAGGCGGUCUGAUAAGCCGGUUGUGAAAGCCCCGGGCUCAACCUGGGAACGGCAUCCGGAACUGUCAGGCUAGAGUGCAGGAGAGGAAGGUAGAAUUCCCGGUGUAGCGGUGAAAUGCGUAGAGAUCGGGAGGAAUACCAGUGGCGAAGGCGGCCUUCUGGACUGACACUGACGCUGAGGUGCGAAAGCGUGGGUAGCAAACAGGAUUAGAUACCCUGGUAGUC